UGGGCUCCAGGUUAGUCGGGAGCUAAGGUGAGGCCUAACGGCGUAGCCGAUGCACAGACGGUAGAGAUUCCGUCACCACCAAAAGAGUUAAACACAGGGACACAUUUGAAGUCUCGGAGCCGGGUGUUGGUUCCGGUAGCGAUCGAGGGAAAUUAGUACCGAAGUCCGGGAUGGAAGAUGGCGAGAAAAGCUGUGUGUAUUUCUGCGGUGCCCGUACCGCAAACCGACACAGGUAGGUAGGAAGAAGAUUCUAAGGCCAACGGGAGAAGGGUUGUUAAGGAACUCGGCAAAUUGACCCCGUAACUUCGGGAGAAGGGGUGCUUUAGAGAUAGAGCCGCAGAGAAUCGGCCCAAGCAACUGUUUACCAAAAACACAGGUUUGUGCUAAAUCGAAAGAUGACGUAUACGAGCUGACGCCUGCCCGGUGCUGGAAGGUUAAGAGGAGAUGUGCAAGCAUUGAAUCGAAGCCCCAGUGAACGGCGGCCGUAACAAUAACGGUCCUAAGGUAGCGAAAUUCCUUGUCAGGUAAGUUCUGACCCGCAUGAAAGGCGUAAUGAUUUGGGCACUGUCUCGACAGCCCGCCCGGCGAAAUUGUAGUACCGGUGAAGAUGCCGGUUACCCGCGACAAGACGGAAAGACCCCAUGGAGCUUUACUGUAGCCUAAUAUUGGGUUUCGAUGUUGCAUGCACAGGAUAGAUGGGACACUGGGAAGCAAGUGCUUUGGCAUUUGUGGAGUGGCCGUUGGGAUACCAUCCUUGCGAUAUUGGAAUUCUAACCUGCGCCUUUGAAUCAAGGCGGGGGACAUUGUUAGGUGGGCAGUUUGACUGGGGCGGUCGCCUCCUAAAGAGUAACGGAGGCGUUCAAAGGUUCGCUCAGCUUGAACGGAAAUCAAGCAAAAGAGUGCAAACGCAGAAGCGAGCCUAACUGCGAGACUGACGGGUCGAGCAGUAACGAAAGUUGGAGUUAGUGAUCCGGUGGUAUGUGAGUGGAAAUGCCAUCGCUCAACGGAUAAAAGUUACCCUGGGGAUAACAGGCUGAUCUCCCCCAAGAGUCCACAUCGACGGGGAGGUUUGGCACCUCGAUGUCGGCUCAUCGCAUCCUGGGGCUGUAUUCGGUCCCAAGGGUUUGGCUGUUCGCCAAUUAAAGCGGUACGCGAGCUGGGUUCAGAACGUCGUGAGACAGUUCGGUCCCUAUCUGUCGUGGGCGCAGGAUAUUUGAUGGGAGCUGUUCCUAGUACGAGAGGACCGGAGCGGACGUACCUCUGGCGCACCAGUUGUUCUGCCAAGGGCAUAGCUGGGCAACUAUGUACGGAUCGGAUAAACGCUGAAAGCAUCUAAGCGUGAAGCCGACCCAAAGAUAAGAUAUCCCAUUGUUUCAAACAAGUAAGACCCCUUGAAGACUACAAGGUUGAUAGGCAUGAUGUGUAAGUGGAGUGAUCCAUUCAGCAAGCGUGUACUAAUAGGUCGAGGGCUUGACC
rnacentral:rRNA from 1 species